UGUGGCCAAAUAAAAUCUUCUUGAUGUUGCUUUAAGAAUAAUAAAUAAUAUUUUGUUGAUCCCUAGAAGUUGCUAAAUGCUUUACAUAUACUCCUACUUCAGUUGCAUUUGAUAUGGAUAUAUAAAUCAAUAUCCUUCUCCCAGAUGUUAUAGUUCAGAUGCUUUUGCCAAAUCAGGAAAAAUAAAAUGCAGAGUGGGGCC
rnacentral:lncRNA from 1 species